GUCUGUAGACACAUUAUCUCACUGCUUGGCUAGGGACUUCCUCUUGAGUGCUACCUCGAAAGUAGUGUGCAUCUCAAAAUUAUUUUAAAUUCAUUAUUAUUGUUGUUGUUGUUAUUUAUUACUAAUAAUUAAUAUUAGCCCCUAACCUUUACUUUUUUUUUUCCAGUGAAGGGGAGGAAUGCAGGGGUGGGGUGGGGUGGGGGAGGGGCUGUCAGGAUCUCUUUGGCCCUCUUCCCCAUCUGGCCAUGUUGUUCUACUUGUCACUGCCCCUACAGCCCCUUCCGAUUUCCUGCCCCGCCCCUCCUCUGCACUCCAUGUUUCUUUCAGUUUUGUAGGUGCUUAUUUAUUGCUGUAUUACGCAUUCAUUUCUCUGAGAGAGGGGGUUGCCUAUGUAUUUCUGCUAGGCAUUUGCCAGCAAUCUGAAGCCUAAUUUGUAGUUGUUGCCUAAGAUGAACAUGAGUGGCCACAUACUCUAUCCUGAAUUCAAGAAAUGACCUUUAAAAUUAAAGGAGCUCUCGAGUAUCAAGAAACAAGAAUCUUAGAAGAGAGUUUGAUAGGCCACACUGGGAAACAGGAUGAGCAGGUCCACGAGAGCCUUGUGCUAUGACACUUCAGAGAGGGUCUACUGCAAAACGAGGCCACACCGCUCCUUAUACCUCCAGCGUCAGUACCAGCAGACUUUGCAGAAAGCACCUGUCCUUUACAUUUGUUCUUGCCAUGCUGAGAACUUUGGCUUGCACUUCCUGCCGUCACCCAGACUGUUCCUCUGCCAUGACAUCAUCCAUUACUAAAGGAACCUCAAACAUUGUGCUGCACUUUGUAGAUGAGAAUAAAUGUCUCCUCUAUUGGAGACUGAGAACAGAACCCUGAAAGCAUCUGCCGAUUGCUUUGUCCCUUCCUGACCAGCCAGCAAGUGGCUUUCUUUCCUGGCAUUUUCUGUACAGUGAGUGAAGGCAGGUCCUGACAGCUGUGUCAGACGCACACUGUUUACUGUGCCUGUGUUUACAUCAGCCUUGUCUAUAUUGACAGCAAACAUCAUAGGGAGGGGAAGAAAGCUUG
rnacentral:lncRNA from 1 species